AACGCAACUUGCGCCCAUUGGUAUUCCGAUGGGCACGCCUGUUUGAGUGUCGUGAACCCCCCUCAAGGUCCCUCGACUGACUUGUUGGUCGGGGGAACCUUGGAUUUGGAGGACAUUGCGGGUUGUCUGGCCGUCGGCGGGACCCCGCUCCUCUUCAAUGCAGCAGUGAGGCUCUUGUGAUGGACCGUCCUCUGGUGUUGUAGUUACACUUACGCCAUGGGUGGGUCGUCGCCGCGAUCGUGUCCCCCUCCUCCUGAGGUUGGGGAGAGAGCUUGGCUUCCAACCGUCCGGGACGUGCGCACUUGUUGCGUGUGCCAUUGGACAAGAUUUGAACCUUUUGACCUCAAAUCAGGCGGGACUACCCGCUGAACUUAA
rnacentral:misc_RNA from 1 species